CAGCAGCCGCGGGAAUACGAGGGGGGCAAGCGUUGUUCGGAAUUAUUGGGCGUAAAGGGUGCGUAGGCGGUUUGACAAGUCUUAUGUGAAAUCUCUGGGCUCAACCCAGAGUCUGCACGGGAAACUGUCGGGCUUGAGUAUGGGAGAGGUGAGUGGAAUUUCCGGUGUAGCGGUGAAAUGCGUAGAUAUCGGAAGGAACACCUGUGGCGAAAGCGGCUCACUGGACCAUAACUGACGCUGAUGCACGAAAGCUAGGGGAGCAAACAGGAUUAGAUACCCGUGUAGUCCCUGUCUCUUAUAA
rnacentral:rRNA from 1 species